CGCACCUUGCGCUCCUUGGUAUUCCGAGGAGCAUGCCUGUUUGAGUGUCAUUAAAUUCUCAACCUUACUGAUUUGUUUCAAUGUGAGGCUUGGAUUUGGAGUGUGCUGGUCCCUGCGGAGGGGUCGGCUCCUCUUGAAAUGUAUCAGCGGAGUCUUCUUUGACUUCUGGUAUCAGUGUGAUAAUCAUGUUGCGCUGUCAGCCGGGGGUCCCAAGUCCGCUUAUAAUUGUCUUCGGACGACUUAUCAAAUCUUGACCUCAAAUCAGGUAGGAUUACCCGCUGAACUUAA
rnacentral:misc_RNA from 1 species